AUUUAUAUAGUUUAAAAUAAAACAUUGUAUUUUCAAUAUAAAAAUAAUUUAUUAAAUUUAUAAAUA
rnacentral:tRNA from 1 species